GAUGAACGCUGGCGGCGUGCCUAAUACAUGCAAGUCGAGCGAACGGACGAGAAGCUUGCUUUUCUGAUGUUAGCGGCGGACGGGUGAGUAACACGUGGAUAACCUACCUAUAAGACUGGGAUAACUUCGGGAAACCGGAGCUAAUACCGGAUAAUAUUUUGAACCGCAUGGUUCAAAAGUGAAAGACGGUCUUGCUGUCACUUAUAGAUGGAUCCGCGCUGCAUUAGCUAGUUGGUAAGGUAACGGCUUACCAAGGCAACGAUGCAUAGCCGACCUGAGAGGGUGAUCGGCCACACUGGAGCGGAGACGCGGUCCAGACCCCUGCGGGAGGCACCAGUAGGGAAUCUUCCGCAAUGGGCGGAAGCCUGACGGAGCAACGCCGCGUGAGUGAUGAAGGUCUUCGGAUCGUAAAACUCUGUUAUUAGGGAAGAACAUAUGUGUAAGUAACUGUGCACAUCUUGACGGUACCUAAUCAGAAAGCCACGGCUAACUACGUG
rnacentral:rRNA from 1 species